rnacentral:rRNA from 1 species
GUGGAUGCCCUGGCAGUCAGAGGCGAUGAAGGACGUGCUAAUCUGCGAUAAGCGCCGGUAAGGUGAUAUGAACCGUUAUAACCGGCGAUUUCCGAAUGGGGAAACCCAGUGUGAUUCGUCACACUAUCAUUAACUGAAUCCAUAGGUUAAUGAGGCGAACCGGGGGAACUGAAACAUCUAAGUACCCCGAGGAAAAGAAAUCAACCGAGAUUCCCCCAGUAGCGGCGAGCGAACGGGGAGGAGCCCAGAGCCUGAAUCAGCAUGUGUGUUAGUGGAAGCGUCUGGAAAGGCGCGCGAUACAGGGUGACAGCCCCGUACACAAAAGCGCAUGUGCUGUGAGCUCGAUGAGUAGGGCGGGACACGUGGUAUCCUGUCUGAAUAUGGGGGGACCAUCCUCCAAGGCUAAAUACUCCUGACUGACCGAUAGUGAACCAGUACCGUGAGGGAAAGGCGAAAAGAACCCCGGCGAGGGGAGUGAAAAAGAACCUGAAACCGU